CCGGUUGAUCCUGCCAGUAGUGAUAUGCUUGUUUCAAAGAUUAAGCCAUGCAUGUCUAAGUAUAAGCGAACUUAUACAGUGAAACUGCGGAUGGCUCAUUAAAACAGUUUGAAUUUAUUUGAUGAAUGUAUGAGAAUACUACUUGGAUAACCGUAGUAAUUCUAGAGCUAAUACAUGCAACGACGCACGACCGUUUCACUACGGAAGGGCUGUAUUUAUUGGAUACCAAAACCAUCCUUCCCUCGGGAAGUUUUGUUUGAUGAUUCACAAUAACUGAUCGGAUCGCCACUGUGGUGGCGACAGGUCAUUCAACAUUCUGCCCUAUCAGCUUUCGAUGGUUGUGUAGUGGACAACCAUGGCCAUAACGGGUAACGGAGAAUCAGGGUUCGAUUCCGGAGAAGGAGCUUGAGAAUUGGCUACUACAUCUAAGGAAGGCAGCAGGCGCGCAAAUUACCCAAUCCCGAUUCGGGGAGGUAGUGACAAAAAAUAACAAUACCGGGCCUUUUUGGGCUUGGUAAUUGGAAUGAGGGAGAGUUAAACGGACCAUCGAGUAUCCAUUGGAGGGCAAGUCUGGUGCCAGCAGCUGCGGUAAUACCAGCUCCAAUAUCGUAUAUUAAAGUUGUUGCAGUUAAAAAGCUCGUAGUUGGACUUGUGUGCGCUGUCCGCGGGUGGCCUGCGCCAAAAGGGCGUUUCGGUUCGGCCCCGGUGGCGCCUUGAAAUCUGCAGCUGGGGGGACGUUGGCCUUAACUGGUCGGCGACCGCACGCCGGCUGCUCGGUUACUGUGAGAAAAUUAGAGUGUUCAAGGCAGGCAUUGGAUGCAAUUGAAUACAUUAGCAUGGAAUAAUAAAAUAUGGCUCCUGCCGUAUUUUGUUGGUUUUGACUGGUGGGAGUAAUGAUUGAUAGGGACGGUUGGGGGUGCUAGUAUUGAGCGGCCAGAGGUGAAAUUCAUGGAUUCGCUCAAGACUAACUUAUGCGAAAGCAUUCACCAAGGACGUCCUCUUUAAUCAAGAACGAAAGUUGGGGGAUCGAAGACGAUCAGAUACCGUCGUAGUCUCAACCAUAAACUAUGUCGACUUGGGAUCGGCGGUAGUUUUCUCAUUAAGACACUGUCGGGACCACGGGAGAAAUCAAAGUGUCUGGACUCUGGGGGAAGUAUGGUCGCAAGGCUGAAACUUGAAGGAAUUGACGGAAGGGCACCACCAGGAGUGGAGCCUGCGGCUUAAUUUGACCCAACACGGGGAAACUUACCAGGUCCAGAGAUGUAGAGGAUUGACAGAUUGAAGCUCUUUCUUGAUCACUUCGGUGGUGGUGCAUGGCCGUUCUUAGUUGGUGGAGUGAUUUGUCUGGUUAAUUCCGUU
rnacentral:rRNA from 1 species